UACGGAAGGCAGCAGUGGGGAAUAUUGCACAAUGGGCGCAAGCCUGAUGCAGCCAUGCCGCGUGUAUGAAGAAGGCCUUCGGGUUGUAAAGUACUUUCAGUCGUGAGGAAGGUGUUAAGGUUAAUAACCUUAGCAAUUGACGUUAGCGACAGAAGAAGCACCGGCUAACUCCGUGCCAGCAGCCGCGGUAAUACGGAGGGUGCGAGCGUUAAUCGGAAUUACUGGGCGUAAAGGGCACGCAGGCGGUUAAUUAAGUUGGAUGUGAAAUCCCCGGGCUUAACCUGGGAAUGGCAUUCAAGACUGGUUAGCUAGAGUCUUGUAGAGGGGGUAGAAUUCCGAUGUGUAGCGGUGAAAUGCGUAGAGAUGUGGAGGAAUACCGGUGGCGAAGGCGGCCCCUGGACAAAGGACUGACGCUCAUGUGCGAAAGCGUGGGGAGCGAAACAGGGAUUAGA
rnacentral:rRNA from 1 species